AAGUGCUUCAUUCGUAGUAACUACAGCGACGAGGAGUCAUCACAUCAGCAUUAUUCUCUAAAUUAUAUUAUACUUCUUUUCAGAAAUGGAAUCAAAAGUUGGAAAAAGUUAACAAAAAAGUAAACUUAUAAACAAAUUGGCUAUCAACUGCCUUUUUGGCCGCCAAUUUUGUUCUUCAGCUCAACCGCCGUAGAUUCGGGAGCACAGGAUUGUGGGAUUUCAUAGACAGUGAAGGAUACAUCUAUGCUGCCUUCAAAAAUCAAUCAGAUGAAAGCGUCUCAGUAGACAGGAUGUGACGCAAACAUUGGAUUCGGACAUGCUGUGAUCCCUUCCUACCUCCGUAUACAGCCUCUGGAGGCAGCAUUUUCCUGAUUUCAGACGCAACCACACAGUUCAGGACAGCAAUCUGGAUGGAUGUUUAACUGUUAUCCGUUUUUCGAGGUUGUUUACCUGCUAUAACGCUUGGAUAUGUUUUCUGGUAGGGUUGUUGAAGCUAAUAUUGCUUGUCAUGCUUGUAUGAAUCAAACAUUACUUGUGGGUUAAACGACUGCGAUGUAUCUACGUUGUCGGGGGAAGUUACUGUGGCAUGUUUACUAAUAUUUAUGACUUCUGAAAUUGUCUUCUUGUAACUGUUAUAUAGCAUUUUAAAGCAUAUAAUUUUCAUGUUUAAUAAAGUAUAUUUUAUCCCCA